AUAACUAGAAUUGCCAUUGCAAGCAAUAGCGGAUGUCACCCUGGUUCCCCAAUUGCCACUAAACGACAGCCAUUUCGAAAUGUUCCAUCAGUAAAUGUAGAUAUAUCCAUAACAAAAGAUCUUUCUGUCAGUUUUCAUAGCUUUAUAUACGUUUUUCUGUUUUCAACAAUUGUGCCGUUUCCAUGGCAACGGCGGCCAUUUUGGAAAUUAAAAACUCAAAAGUCAAGUCUACAUUAGCUAGGUAACAUUUGUUUUAAGUUUCAUUAAAUUUGAAGCCUUUUGGAGUUUUUCAUAUUUUUGCUGUUUCCAUGGUAACGGCUGCCAUUUUGAAAAUUCCAAAGUCUAACUUCUUCUGCAAAUUGAUCUCUCCAUAAUUAUAUACCAUCAUAUACCAUUUAAUGUCUCUAGAAUAAAUUUAACACUUAUGUUCUGGAAUGUUCCAUGAAAAUUCACCCCCCUCAAAUUAUGUCUAGAGACCCCCCAGUUGAAAAAAAAAAUGUACCAUGUUGAAGUGUGCAUGAGUCUCUUAAUAUCAUAGAAGUUUCAUAUCAAUUGGAACACAUUUCUAUUUUUCACAUUUUUGCUGUUUCCAUGGCAAUGGCAGCCAUUUUUUUAAUUCCAAGGUAAGGUGCAAAACUGCACAUGGUGAUUAACAUUAUGUUAUAGUUCCAUCAACAUUGGUCCAUUCAAUUCUGAGAACUAAGCCGGACAAAAAGUGUGGAAUAAAAAUAAUAAGAAAAAAAGAAUCGUACAAUAACAAUAUGUCACCCGACCUCCGUCAGGGUGACAUAAUAAGG
rnacentral:lncRNA from 1 species